rnacentral:pre_miRNA from 1 species
UAUAUACUCUCUCCGUCCGAAAAUAUUUGUCAUCAAAAUAGAUAAAAAAGGAUGUAUCUAAAUGUAUUUUAGUUCUAGAUACAUCUCUUUUUAUCUAUUUUGAUGACAAGUAUUUUCGGACGGAGGGAGUAUAAA